UUUACUAUAGCUUGACACUGAACAUUGAAUUUUGAUGUGUAGGAUAGGUGGGAGACUAAGAAGCAGGCACGCCAGUGCUUGUGGAGUCGACCUUGAAAUACCACCCUUUAACGUUUGAUGUUCUAACGAAGAUUACGAAACGUGGUCUCGGACAGUGUCUGGUGGGUAGUUUGACUGGGGCGGUCUCCUCCCAAAGCGUAACGGAGGAGCACGAAGGUUU
rnacentral:rRNA from 1 species